rnacentral:lncRNA from 1 species
AUGUGUUUUACAGCUUGCAAACAAUACUUUGAAAAGUAUCCAGGAGACCAUGAACUCCUUUGGGAAGUUGAAGGUGUUGGACACUGGUACCAGAGAAUACCAGUCACGAGAGCAUUGCAGAGAGAAACACUUAAAAUUACAGCAAUUUCCCACAAUGAAGCCAAAAGACCUGUGUCUGGAGAAUAUGGUCUUGCAACUGUUCCAGAAUAUGAAGCAGAAACUGAAGAUAAUCAGUCUAAUGAGAUGCAGCUAACUGUAGGUGCAUUAUAUGAUCACUGCAGGAAGUAAUAAUGUUGUGGUUUCUUUAAAAUGGAUCCCAUUUAUAUUUAAGUUUUGAAUGUUAUAGUUCCUUCAACAAUGGUAACUUCAGUUGCAUUCGUUUUCUUGGCAUCUUUUGUGGAUUAAUAAGGACUUGGUUUUCUUUGAAAGAUAUUUAUAAUGGGAUUAAUAG